UAGGAAUGACCGCAAUUGGAAAGUGUGGCACUUUACUAUUGGCAAGUGGCAACUUCUCUACCGAAUAGCCGGGGACUCGUUCCCAGUCCUAAUCGGUCCACCAGCUCCGGCGCUCUCCGAUCAGAUUCCUGCUCAUCCUUCAUAUUCGGCUGCACAGAAAUUGAUCGGCGCCGACACCGCUACGCCUACGCACCUAAAUCGGUUGCAUAAAGAAGUGAACAACCCCUUCCAUUUUGUUUUUUUCUAAAGGAAGAGGGAUUCCCCCUCAUCUACGUAGUUUCCCGUCGCCGGAAUGGAUUACGGCAGCAUUUUAGAUACAAUCGGAGGGGAGAUUACCGGCGUGAUGGCUCCGGUCUCCAUAUGCAUGCUUCUGGUGGUCCUCAUUGUUUACUCACUCUCUUCCCCUACCAACCCCACCGCCACUAUCCAGACUGCUGCAAAUCUGGUAUACCUAGAGAAUCCUUCUGAUUCCACUGCUCAGAAACUCGAAGGCGCUCUCCUCAAUGCCUUGGUCUUCGUCAUUCUCAUUGCUGUUGUCACCUUUGUCCUUGUGGCCCUCUACUACUUCCGCUUCACAAACUUUAUCAAGCAUUAUGUUCGAUUCUCUGUCUUCUUUGUGUUGACGUCCAUGGGUGGCUCCAUCUUCCUCUCUCUUAUCCAGCACUUCAACAUCCCCGUUGAUGCCAUCACCUGUGCUUUAUUUCUUUUCAAUUUCAGCAUUGUAGGAGUCAUUUCUGUGUUUGCACAAGGGGUGCCUAUUCUGCUCAACCAGAUGUAUAUGGUGGCUGUUGGUAUCAUUGUGGCUGUGUGGUUCACCAAAUUGCCUGAGUGGACCACUUGGGUUUGCCUUGUGAUGUUGGCUUUGUAUGACUUGGUUGCAGUGUUGGCCCCUGGAGGACCGCUGAAAAUUCUGGUGGAGUUGGCUUCAACGCGGAAUGAGGAACUCCCGGCUCUAGUUUAUGAGUCCCGGCCUAGAGUUCAGAGGAGCAGAAGUCCUGGGGUUGGACUUUUGCUGGCUGGUUUUUCUAAUGGAAGGUCAGUUGAGCUUACAGCCAUUUCUGGUAAUACCAGUAGUGAUGGCGAUGAUCAGAAUGUGAGUGGUUUAGUUGGUGGAAACAAUCCACAUUCAGCAAUAAAUGUCCCAAAUGAAAAUAAUGAGAUUGAGGUUUCAACUGAGUAUGAAAUCGCGGGGGAAACGUCUCCAUUGAUGACUAGCAGUAAUUCGACAGAAAGGCAAUUGGCAAAUGGGGAGAUUAGGCGCAAUGAAAACAGAGAAACGAGAGAGAGGGAAAGUGAAGAAGAGGAGAGAGAGAGGGGGAUCAGGCUUGGAUUGGGGGACUUUAUCUUCUACAGUGUGCUGCUAGGAAGGGCUGCAAUGUUUGAUCUGAUGACAGUGUAUGCUUGUUACCUUGCUAUCAUAUGUGGAUUGGGAUGUACACUUAUUCUGUUAGCUGUGUGCCGGCAUGCUUUGCCUGCACUUCCAAUUUCAAUUGCUCUGGGGGUUAUGUUUUACUUUUUGACAAGGCUCUUGAUGGAGCCCUUCGUUGUUGGUGCUUCAACAAAUCUGAUAAUGUUCUGACCUGUGCUGCACAAAGCUAUUUUGCUGAUAACAAGUUCACUUGAAUUUGAGGAUAUUUAUGUUUUAGGGUGGAAGAGAUAGCUCUGGUGAUAGUCUAUUGCCAAUGAUUUGUAAAUUGACAGAACUCGGAAGACUGAUUCUUGAACUGGUUUCUUAUCCUGAAGAAAUACUAGUAGUAUUAUCUCAUUUACAAUGGCACCAGAAUGGAUGCUUAAAUUAACAUGUGAUCUCAUAGUACAGCAUUCUAUUGAAGUCAAAUUUGAUUCUGCAUAGGAUGAGGAUUGUCUAGGGUGUUCUGGAUGCAUCGGUGUUGAGUUCAUCAUAUGUUAUAUAGACAGGUCCAAUGGCAAUUCUCGCUGGGUUCGCAUAUGGCUAUGGCACAUGUUUUCAACAGCGAGAGGGAAUUAUCAUGCAAUCUGCAGUGAAUACUAAUAGCGAGUGGAGUCAAAAUUCAUCAAGAAGUUGUUCAACGACGAUUCCGAUUUGUCAAUGUAGCCAACCUUUGCAGCUUCGAACGUCGUGGACGAACGAUAAUCCGGGCAGGAGGUUUUGGGUUUGUACGAAGGAUAGGGAAAUGAGUGUUGGUGGGUGUGGAUUUGUAAGCUGGUAUGACCCACCAAUGUGUUCAAGAUCAAAGUCAAUAAUUCCCGGAUUGUUACGAAGGUUAAAUCGGAACGAUGAAGAAAUUGAGAGACUGCAAUCGAAA